AGGCUGGCUUUGAACUCUCGAUCCUUCUGCCUCCUGAGCUGCUGAGAUGACAGUGGAAGCCAGUCACCAUAUCUGACCUGCCCGGUGGGAGGACCACAUGGCCACACACCAAGGAAGGCCUCUGCCCAGCAGCCAGUGCAGAACUGAGGUCUUAAGUCAACUGGCUCACUAGGAAGUACAUCCUGUCAACAAUGACUUAUUUAGGUCUAUAUUGAAGCCAGUCUCCAAGGAGGAGCUGGACCACAAGCCGUUGUGUCCUGAAAUCGACACUCCUGUGUAGUGUGCCUGCUAUGGUUUGGAUACGAGGUGUCCCCAAAAGCUCACGUGUGAGACGGUGCAGGAAGGUCCAGAGGAGACAUGAC